AUUGAACGCUGGCGGCAUGCCUUACACAUGCAAGUCGAACGGCAGCACGGGGCAACCUGGUGGCGAGUGGCGAACGGGUGAGUAAUGCAUCGGAACGUACCUUUCAGUGGGGGAUAACGUAGCGAAAGUUACGCUAAUACCGCAUAUUCUGUGAGCAGGAAAGCAGGGGAUCGCAAGACCUUGCGCUGAUUGAGCGGGCGAUGUCAAAUUAGCUAGAUGGUGAGGUAAAGGCUCACCAAGGCGACGCACUGUAGCGGGUCUGAGAGGAUGAUCCGCCACACUGGAACUGAGACACGGUCCAGACUCCUACGGGAGGCAGCAGUGGGGAAUUUUGGACAAUGGGGGCAACCCUGAUCCAGCCAUGCCGCGUGAGUGAAGAAGGCCUUCGGGUUGUAAAGCUCUUUCGGCCGGGAAGAAAUCGCACGGGCUAAUACCCUGUGUGGAUGACGGUACCGGGAUAAGAAGCACCGGCUAACUACGUGCCAGCCGCCGCAGUAAUAC
rnacentral:rRNA from 1 species